GUCGCGUGUUCCCUCUAGUGUCAGUCGUAGCACUCGUAGCUUGGUUGAAGGGAUUUAGGAAAAAUCGAGUCUGUAACGAGGUGGUGUGAUUCGAAUUGUGUCGAAACGACAAGUGACAUUUUGAACUUGUAUAUUAAAUUGACAAACAAUGGCGAGCGACGAGCCGAAGUUAACUGGAAUUUCAAAAUAUUUGAACAGUGUCACUGAUCGCGGCCGUAUGAACGUAGCCGUCUCCGCGCUCACUGGUAUGGCAAUUGCUGGGUUAUAUUUCUGGCUGAAACCGAAACCUAAGAAACAAGAAGCAAAGUGAGACAAAGGUGACAUGCAGUAGAUAUAUUAUGUAAUAAUAAUUUCUGUAUCAUCCUAUUAUCAUUACGAAUAAAGGAAAAUUCAUUUUUCAUGGGCCGUUACUGGUGAACGGUCCAUCGUUUUUAUUACAUAUAC